AUUGAACGCUGGCGGAAUGCUUUACACAUGCAAGUCGAACGGCAGCACGGACUUCGGUCUGGUGGCGAGUGGCGAACGGGUGAGUAACAUAUCGGAACGUAUCCAAUAAUGGGGGAUAACUAAUCGAAAGGUUGGCUAAUACCGCAUACGCCCUACGGGGGAAAGCUAGGGACCUUCGGGCCUGGCGUUAAUGGAGCGGCCGAUAUCUGAUUAGCUAGUUGGUGAGGUAAAGGCUCACCAAGGCGACGAUCAGUAGCUGGUCUGAGAGGACGACCAGCCACACUGGAACUGAGACACGGUCCAGACUCCUACGGGAGGCAGCAGUGGGGAAUUUUGGACAAUGGGCGCAAGCCUGAUCCAGCCAUUCCGCGUGAGUGAAGAAGGCCUUCGGGUUGUAAAGCUCUUUUGUCAGGGAAGAAACACCGGCUCUAACACAGUCCGGGAAUGACGGUACCUGAAGAAUAAGCACCGGCUAACUACGUG
rnacentral:rRNA from 1 species